AUUGAACGCUGGCGGCAGGCCUAACGCAUGCAAGUCGAGCGGGGUUUUCGGACCUAGCGGCGGACGGGUGAGUAAUGCGUAGGAAGCUACCCGAUAGAGGGGGAUACCAGUUGGAAACGACUGUUAAUACCGCAUAAUGUCUACGGACCAAAGUGUGGGACCUUCGGGCCACAUGCUAUCGGAUGCGCCUACGUGGGAUUAGCUAGUUGGUGGGGUAAUGGCUCAUCAAGGCGACGAUCCCUAGCUGGUUUGAGAGGAUGAUCAGCCACACUGGAACUGAGACACGGUCCAGACUCCUACGGGAGGCAGCAGUGGGGAAUAUUGGACAAGGGGCGCAAGCCUGAUCCUGCCAUGCCGCGUGUGUGAAGAAGGCCUUCGGGUUGUAAAGCACUUUCAGUAGGGAGGAAGGGUGUUGUGUUAAUAGCACAGCAUUUUGACGUUACCUACAGAAGAAGCACCGGCUAACUCUGUGCCAGCCGCCGCAGUAAAAC
rnacentral:rRNA from 1 species